GACGAACGCUGGCGGCGUGCUUAACACAUGCAAGUCGAACGGAAAGGCCCUGCUUUUGUGGGGUGCUCGAGUGGCGAACGGGUGAGUAGCACGUGAGUAACCUGUCCUUGACUGUGGGAUAACUUCAGGAAACUGGGGCUAAUACCGGAGAGGAGCUCCUGCUGCGUGGUGGGGGUUGGAAAGUUUCGGCGGUUGGGGAUGGACUCGCGGCUUAUCAGCUUGUUGGUGGGGUAGUGGCUUACCAAGGCUUUGACGGGUAGCCGGCCUGAGAGGGUGACCGGCCACAUUGGGACUGAGAUACGGCCCAGACUCCUACGGGAGGCAGCAGUGGGGAAUAUUGCACAAUGGGCGGAAGCCUGAUGCAGCGACGCCGCGUGCGGGAUGACGGCCUUCGGGUUGUAAACCGCUUUCGCCUGUGACGAAGCGUGAGUGACGGUAAUGGGUAAAGAAGCACCGGCUAACUACGUG
rnacentral:rRNA from 1 species